CACCGCGGUUAUACGAGAGGCUCAAGUUGAUAGACAACGGCGUAAAGAGUGGUUAAGGAGCCCAUUAAAACUAAAGCCGAACGCCCUCAGAACUGUUAUACGUUUCCGAAGGUAAGAAGCCCCACUACGAAAGUGACUUUACUCCCCCUGACCCCACGAAAGCUGCGAAA
rnacentral:rRNA from 1 species